GAAAGGUUAGUUAAAGUUUAUUAUAACAUAAGAUUGUCAUUCUUAAAUUAUUCAAUCUCGAAUACUUUUCU
rnacentral:tRNA from 1 species